AUUGAACGCUGGCGGUAUGCCUUACACAUGCAAGUCGAACGGUAGAGGGGCAACCCUUGAGAGUGGCGAACGGGUGAGUAAUACAUCGGAACGUGCCCAGUCGUGGGGGAUAACGUAGCGAAAGCUACGCUAAUACCGCAUACGACCUGAGGGUGAAAGCGGGGGAUCGCAAGACCUCGCGCGAUUGGAGCGGCCGAUGGCAGAUUAGGUAGUUGGUGGGGUAAAGGCCUACCAAGCCUGCGAUCUGUAGCUGGUCUGAGAGGACGACCAGCCACACUGGGACUGAGACACGGCCCAGACUCCUACGGGAGGCAGCAGUGGGGAAUUUUGGACAAUGGGCGCAAGCCUGAUCCAGCCAUACCGCGUGCGGGAAGAAGGCCUUCGGGUUGUAAACCGCUUUUGUCAGGGAAGAAAUCUUCUGGGCUAAUACCUCGGGAGGAUGACGGUACCUGAAGAAUAAGCACCGGCUAACUACGUGCCAGCCGCCGCCGUAAAAC
rnacentral:rRNA from 1 species